AUUGAACGCUGGCGGCAGGCUUAACACAUGCAAGUCGAGCGGAGCUGAGGUGCUUGCACCUUAUCUUAGCGGCGGACGGGUGAGUAAUGCUUAGGAAUCUGCCUAGUAGUUGGGGACAACAUUCCGACAGGAAUACUAAUACCGCCUACGCCCUACGGGGGAUAGCAGGGGAUCUUCGGAACUUGAGAUACUAGUGGAGCGUAGGUCGGAUUAGCUAGUUGGUGGGGUGAAGGCCUACCAAGGCGACGAUCUGUAGCGGUUCUGAGAGGAUGAUCCGCGACACUGGGACUGAGACACGGCCCAGACUCCUACGGGAGGCAGCAGUGGGGAAUAUUGGACAAUGGGCGGAAGCCUGAUCCAGCCAUGCCGCGUGUGUGAAGAAGGCCUUUUGGUUGUAAAGCACUUUAAGCGAGGAGGAGGCUACCUGGAUUAAUACUCUAGGAUAGUGGACGUUACUCGCAGAAUAAGCACCGGCUAACUCUGUGCCAGCCGCCGCCGUAACAC
rnacentral:rRNA from 1 species